UACAGAGGGGGCAAGCGUUGUUCGGAAUUACUGGGCGUAAAGGGCGCGUAGGCGGCCUUCUAAGUCGAACGUGAAAUCCCCGGGCUCAACCCGGGAACUGCGUCCGAUACUGGAAGGCUUGAAUCCGGGAGAGGGAUGUGGAAUUCCAGGUGUAGCGGUGAAAUGCGUAGAUAUCUGGAGGAACACCGGUGACGAAGGCGACAUCCUGGACCGGUAUUGACGCUGAGGCGCGAAAGCCAGGGGAGCAAACGGG
rnacentral:rRNA from 1 species